CAGGGUACUCGAGUGGCGAACGGGUGAGUAACACGUGGGUGAUCUGCCCUGCACUUCGGGAUAAGCCUGGGAAACUUGGUCUAAUACCGGAUAGGAGCCAUUUUAGUGUGAUGGUUGGAAAGUUUUUUCGGUGUAGGAUGAGCUCGCGGCCUAUUAGCUUGUUGGUGGGGUAAUGGCCUACCAAGGCGGCGACGGGUAGCCGGCCUGAGAGGGUGGACGGCCACAUUGGGACUGAGAUACGGCCCAG
rnacentral:rRNA from 1 species